rnacentral:rRNA from 1 species
AGAGUUUGAUCCUGGCUCAGAUUGAACGCUGGCGGCAUGCCUAACACAUGCAAGUCGAACGGUAACAGGACGCUAGGAUCCCUUCGGGGUGACUUUGUCGCUGACGAGUGGCGGACGGGUGAGUAACGCGUGGGAAUCUGCCUGGUAGUGGGGGACAACCCGAGGAAACUCGGGCUAAUACCGCAUACGCUCUACGGAGGAAAGCGGGGGAUCUUCGGACCUCGCGCUAUCGGAUGAGCCCGCGUCGGAUUAGCUUGUUGGUGAGGUAAAAGCUCACCAAGGCGACGAUCCGUAGCUGGUCUGAGAGGACGAUCAGCCACACUGGGACUGAGACACGGCCCAGACUCCUACGGGAGGCAGCAGUGGGGAAUAUUGGACAAUGGGGGAAACCCUGAUCCAGCAAUGCCGCGUGUGUGAAGAAGGCCUGCGGGUUGUAAAGCACUCUCAGUAGAGAAGAAAAGCCUUAGGGUUAAUAGCCCUGAGUCUUGACGUAACCUACAGAAGAAGCACCGGCUAACUCCGUGCCAGCAGCCGCGCUAAUACGGAGGGCGCAAGCGUUAAUCGGAAUUACUGGGCGUAAAGCGCGCGUAGGCGGCUGAGUCAGUCGGUUGUGAAAGCCCCGGGCUUAACCUGGGAACUGCAUUCGAUACUGCUUAGCUAGAGUCUGAUAGAGGGGACUGGAAUUCCGGGUGUAGCGGUGAAAUGCGUAGAUAUCCGGAGGAACACCAGUGGCGAAGGCGACUCCCUGGAUCAAGACUGACGCUGAGGUGCGAAAGCGUGGUUAGCAAACAGGAUUAGAUACCCUGGUAGUCCACGCCGUAAACGAUGUCAACUAGACGUUGGGAGACUUGAUCUCUUAGUGGGCGCAGCUAACGCGUUAAGUUGACCGCCUGGGGAGUACGCCGGCAACGGUAAAACUCAAAGGAAUUGACGGGGGCCCGCACAAGCGGUGGAGCAUGUGGUUUAAUUCGAUGCAACGCGAAGAACCUUACCUACCCUUGACAUUGACAGAAUCCUGCAGAGAUGCGGGAGUGCCUUCGGGCCUGGAAAACAGGUGCUGCAUGGCUGUCGUCAGCUCGUGUCGUGAGAUGUUGGGUUAAGUCCCGUAACGAGCGCAACCCUUAUCCUUAGUUGCCAGCGGUUCGGCCGGGAACUCUAGGGAGACUGCCAGCGACAAGCUGGAGGAAGGCGGGGACGACGUCAAGUCAUCAUGGCCCUUAUGGGCAGGGCUACACACGUGCUACAAUGGCCGGUACAGAGGGCAGCAAAUCCGCGAGGGGGAGCCAAUCCCAGAAAGCCGGUCGUAGUCCGGAUCGGAGUCUGCAACUCGACUCCGUGAAGUCGGAAUCGCUAGUAAUCGCGAAUCAGCAUUGUCGCGGUGAUUACGUUCCCGGGUCUUGUACACACCGCCCGUCACACCAUGGAAGUUGGUUGUACCAGAAGUAGGUAGCCUAACCUUCGGGAGGGCGCUUACCACGGUGUGGCCAACGACUGGGGUGAAGUCGUAACAAGGUAACC